rnacentral:lncRNA from 1 species
UGUCAACUUGAGAGAUACUAGAGUCACAAGGAAGAGGGAUCCACAGCUGAGGGAUCGCCUCCAUCACGAUUGCAUCAUAAUCUGUGGGAGGCCCACAUUUCAGAGCUUUGUGUAUUGGGGGUAGAUCUGGAAGCAGUUCCCAAUUCUUCCUGUACAUUAUGUAAUAUCACUUAAAAUUUGGAUUGAAGCAAUCCAUUCUGUCUCAUCCCUUGGACCUUGUCUCUCUACCUUCAUCUCCCGCGGUUGGAUACUACCACCAAGGCUCUCCGAACAUUGGGAUCCAUUCGAGGUUCAGCUGGGGAUGAGAGCCUCCAAAUGGUCCUUCUUCUGGAGACACUUCACCUGUGAUAGCCUCUGCCCCAGCCCAGUCUGCAAACCCAAUUUGAUUUAUUAUCCCAAGCCUGGGCCCAGCUGUGCAC